AGAGUUUGAUCCUGGCUCAGGACGAACGCUGGCGGCGUGCCUAACACAUGCAAGUCGAACGGUAACAGGCCGCAAGGUGCUGACGAGUGGCGGACGGGUGAGUAAUACGUAGGUAUCUGCCCUGUAGUGGGGGAUAACCCGGGGAAACUCGGGCUAAUACCGCAUACGCUCUUUUAUCGUUGAGAUAGGAGAGGAAAGCGAGGGACCGAAAGGCCUCGCGCUAGAGGAUGAGCCUACGCCCGAUUAGCUAGUUGGUAGGGUAAAAGCCUACCAAGGCGACGAUCGGUAGCUGGUCUGAGAGGAUGGCCAGCCACACUGGGACUGAGACACGGCCCAGACUCCUACGGGAGGCAGCAGUGGGGAAUAUUGGACAAUGGGGGAAACCCUGAUCCAGCGAUGCCGCGUGGGUGAAGAAGGCCUGCGGGUUGUAAAGCCCUUUCAGUGGGGAAGAAAAACGGGGUGUGAACAGCGCUUCGUUUUGACGUUACCCACAGAAGAAGCACCGGCUAACUCCGUGCCAGCAGCCGCGGUAAUACGGAGGGUGCGAGCGUUAAUCGGAAUUACUGGGCGUAAAGGGCGCGUAGGCGGUUGGGUAAGUCGGGUGUGAAAGCCCUGGGCUUAACCUGGGAAUGGCAUUCGAGACUACCUAUCUAGAGUCUGGUAGAGGGAAGUGGAAUUUCCGGUGUAGCGGUGAAAUGUGUAGAUAUCGGAAGGAACACCAGUGGCGAAGGCGACUUCCUGGACCAAGACUGACGCUGAGGCGCGAAAGCGUGGGGAUCAAACAGGAUUAGAUACCCCCGUAGUCC
rnacentral:rRNA from 1 species